rnacentral:tRNA from 1 species
GCCCCCGUAGCUCAGGGGAUAGAGCAGAGGUUUCCUAAACCUUGUGCGUAGGUUCGAGUCCUACCGGGGGCAUCA